rnacentral:lncRNA from 1 species
UUCACUGUGAUCUCAAGCCUAGUAACAUUCUUCUCGACGAUGAAAUGACUGGGCAUGUAAGUGAUUUCGGGUUAGCAAAGUUCUUUUCUGAAGAAGGCCUUCAUAAUUCAACAAAUGAGUCAAGUUCUUUCGGAGUAAGAGGAACAAUCGGUUAUGCUCCUCCAGGUAAAUAUCUAUACUUUCUCUUCUUCCCUUUACUAAAAGCAAUACAUUUAACAAAUAGCAUUUCCAUGCACAGAGUACGGAACGGGAAGAGAAGUGUCAACUUAUGGUGACAUAUAUAGCUAUGGCAUACUUUUAUUGGAGAUGUUCACAGGGAAGAGACCUACUGAUAGCACAUUUAUGGAAGGUCUGAAUCUUCAUAAUUUCGUCAAAGUAGCUUUACCCGAAAGAGUAUCAAAUAUUAUAGAUCCAAUUCUCAUUGAAGGAAGAUCCAGGAAUAUGGGCAAUUCAUUUCCAAAUCAUACUCACAUGCAGAAUGACGACAUAUUGUUUGAGUGUUUAAUUUCAAUAUUUGAAAUCGGAAUAUCUUGUUCUGCUGAGUUACCAAGAGAACGAAUGAGUAUUAGUGAUGCUUUUUCUCAACUUGGUCGUAUAAAAAAUAGGCUUCUCAGGUAAUCAUCUUCUGAAUUGUUCUUAAUUAGUUAUAUAAUGUAUUCUUUGCAAUAUAUUUCACAAUUGCUUUAUGCAUUUUGACGAAUAAAGAGUCUACGUUACCUUUUUUCUUUUUUUUUUUUUUUUGAGUUAAAGAAUUUAAAAAAACAUUUAUGCAUGUCAUGUUUAUUGAUUAUAAAAAUAAGACACAUCAAAUCAAAUAUAAAUUAUUGAUUGGGAUAAAUUAUUUUAUCCAAUAAAAUUACUAUCAUACCCUUAUUGGUGUGAUUUCUGAAAAAAAUAAUAAAAAAUAUGAUGGGAAUGAGUAAUGUGAAAUGGGUAGCUAGCCAUAAAUUUGAAGGAGAAGUGCAUAAAGAAAUUGAUUCCAAGUAUCAGGAACACCAGGCAGACACCAAUGGCUGCAAUCCAUACCCGUGUGACCUCCACUGCCGUAGACGGAGGGAUGGCCAUCAAUUCUUAGCUGAGAAAGUGCAGUGAUAUUAAGCAAAUACACUGGCUUUUGCAUAGCUCCCAAUACUCUCUCCACAACUUGCUCUGCUCGAUGAGGGCCCGCCGGAUAUUCGGAACCUUGGAAUGGCUGCUUUUGCCCCUUGCAAAACCUUGCCGUCUCCUCUCCCCAGUCACUUCCGCUGUUUUCAAAAACAUUAACAUACAUAUAUAUGCUCUUGUAAGAAAUUGGGUUUAGAAACAAUUUGCAUUUAAAAUUUUCAAAAGAAAUAAUAAAAAAAAGAAUUACUUGUUAUGGUCGGGGGAAACUCCUUUCUUCGGGGGUUUUUCCUCUGUCUUCUGCCCCCUUGGCAAAUCUACUUGUCACUAAGGCGUCAUCUUGCCUUAUAUAUUUUUCCGCCCUCUUCAUCAGCUCUGCCAGCGUGGUGGGGGGCUUUCUGCUCAACGAGCCGAAAAAUUCGGCGGAGGUCGUCCCCUUCUACAUGGCCUCCGCCGCUCUUCCCUCAUCCAACUCGGGAAUCUGUAAGGCCUCCAUAUUGAAGCGGGCAACAUACUCCCUCAGUGACUCGUCCAUUCUCUGCCUUACCGUCUCCAAAUAUCUGGUCUUCCUAUCCGCUGGUACUCCAGCUAUGAACCGGCUGAUGAAGGCGUUGGCCAAAUCCCCAAAGCUUCUGAUACUCCCGACCUCCAAGCUGUUAAACCACGCCCUUACUGGCCCCGUAAGCGUCGUUGGGAAUACCUUGCACAUCAAGGUAUCUGAUAAAGUCUGCAACUCCAUGAAAGUCUUAUAGUUCAGGACGUGCUCUCUGGGGUUCCCAGCUCCAUCGUACGCUGCCAUAGGCGGCAUCAUGAACUUUUUGGGGACAGUCUCCUGCUGCACCCAUUUCGAGAAGGAUGAGGAGGUGGGUAGUAGAGUCUGGGCAUGGUCCUUCGCUCCCAACUCAGCCAGGAGCUGUUCCCUCAGCUUUUGCAGUUUUUGAUCUACAUUUUCUUCUUCUUGUCUGGGCCUCUUCUCGAGGUGACAUUCCUCCUCCCACGCUUCACUUUCCGUCCUCUUGGUUGUUUCGAUAGAAUAACUGUCGGCCUCGUCAUUUUCUAUCAGCUCUCUCACUCUUCUUCCAUGAAUCCUAGCCUCCGGUUCUGCUUCUCCCCCGGUUCUCCUUCCUCUUUCUCCAGUUUCUCUGCUAUUGGUUUGAGGAUGGUUGAAGGUAGGCUGCUGAGGUUCAUUGGUUCUGGGUUCUUUUACUACUGGCAAUACAUUCAUUGGGGUGCUAAGACCCCUCUGUUGCAUCAUCUGCCCCAACCAGUGGUUGAAGGGGUUGAAGGGGAUUGGUGUUUGGUUGUUUGGGAUUGUGGGGUUAGAGAAAGAGAACUGUUGCCCCUCCUGAGCAGAGCUCAGGUCAUUAGGGGUAUUGACAAGGUUGCUUUCGUUAUGGUUGGCCAUUGUGGAUCUCAGUGGGUAUUGUAAGAGUGGAACUCCGGUGAUGAAAAGAUCUCAUUUGUUUCCCAUAGACGGCACCAAUUAAUGAUCUGAGAUCCAGAAAAUAGGGUUUACAAUGCGUUCUCUCAAAAAAACGUCCCUUGAGAGGGGAGUGUUCCUCUCUUUUUAUCCUCCUUUUUUCAGUAACAUGUCCCCACCCUUUUUGGUACAGGACCAUUUUUUCUUCUAUAUGGGCUAGUAUGUACGGAUAAUGCAGUGACCCUUCCUUUAUAAGGUGGCCAUUUAAUGCCCUCCGGCGCAAGGACGGACAGGGUUGCGAAGUGACCAGGUUUAUUGUCCUUUCUUCUCAUGACAGGGUUGGAGAGGAAGAGGCCAAUUCUAAGAGAGGCCGGAUCUCAGGUCCGAAUGGGCUGGGCCGGUCUGACUGUCGAGUUUAGCAGGAGUCUGGUCUCGAAGCAGAUUGGGAUGGGCUGGGCUCGGUAGGGAAAUCUCGAGGCUUCCAAGUUGCGGACUGUCCUUAUGGGCCUAACCAGGGCCCGGGAUAAAGAAUUCAGGUGGUUAUCAAUAUUUAAAUUCUAUUAGGUUGAGAUUUUUUUUAAAAUUAAAAUUAGUUAAAUAGACAUACUUGUUGAGCUUCUUUGAAUUAAUUUUCUCCCUCUUUUUAUUAUUAUUUUUUUCUGUUUUUACUUCAUAAACAUACUCAUUAUGAGUUGCGUAUUUCUUUUAACAGAAAUGAAAGAUUCAUUACAUCAAGAAAAGGUACAAAUUUAUAAAAUUGUCAAGAGAAACUCAUAGUGCAAUUAUAGAAUAGAAUCCCCUGAAUGUGCAACAAGCCAUAAUCAUAUAUAUAGAUUAUUUGGAGAAAUUAUUUUAAAUAAUUAUUGUAUAUUUCAAUUAUGAUAUAACCGUUAUAUUUUAAAAUAUGAGACGGAGUGAAAAAUUAAUUUUUUUUUAAAUUAAAAAUUGAAAAUUGAGAGAGUAGAACCUGACACCUCUUAAAUUUAUUCAGAUACAUUUAUCAUCAUAUUAAGACUGUGAGUGAAAAAAAAAAUUAUAAUAUCAUUUUUCCAAUACAACAAAGAAAUAUUUUGCAUAUUCUCAAACAAAUGGUCAUCUGUAUGUCAAUAGCAGAGUAUGGAAUGGGAAGUAAAAGUGGUAAUAUUAUGGCCUACUCUUUCAAAAGAAGAAACCUAUUGAGAAAUUUUGAAUCUUCAUAGACAAACUUUGUCUGAAUGAGCGGAAGAAAUUGUAGAUAUGUCUGAACAUUUCAUCAAACGUCACGGCCAGGCAAAAUUGAAGAUGGACAAAUCUCCAUAGCCAUGCGAUGAUUUUAGGGCCUUAGCCGUCAACCAAGUGGGCUCUACGCUAUCAUUCUUCUAUCCAUAAGCCCCUUGACUUCCAUCGACCUGCAUGAAAAAUGGCAGGCAGUUCAAUCUUCAUCGUAUCCGUUCCCAUUGAAUAAUUAGCAGACAACCCCACUUUUUGUUUAAAGAUUUUGAAAUAAUUCAACAAGCUGGUGGAAUUUAAUUGGGAAUUAAUUCGGGUCAAGAAAAUGUUAUGGGUCCACAUUUUAACAUUUAGUUAGGAUGUGCUAUACUUAAAUUGAAUAUUUUUAAGUUAAAUCGCUCUCAAAAAUUAUUCAAUACUCUAUUAAUAUAAUAAUCGAAUAUGAAAGGAGUAAAAUAAUAAUUAUACAAUCAUUUUUCACUUUUAUAAAGUGUAGAUAAGAAUUUAUUAAAUUUAUAAUAGCCAACUGAAUAUAAUUUUUAUCGAUAAUGUCUUAUAUAACACGUAUCAAAAUAAAUAUAUUUAAAAGAAUUUUAAUAAAUUAUCUUAACUUUUAAUUUUUUAUUAAUUUAUAUUAAUUUAUUUUAAUAUUACUUUUUAAAAUAUCUUUAAUAUUAAAAAAUUAUAAUUUUAGUCUUUAAAAACCUUAUGAGCUUGACACUCCCCUACAGUCCACAUUCUCAUUUACUGUUAAUUAAAUAUUUCUAUGUCUCUACGCAAUUAUUGAGUGGUUCUGUUUGAAGAUGCAUCAAUAUCGAGAUGGAAAAUUUUGUUCAUUAAUUUAUGAUGAAUGAUUUUUCUCUUACCCCAACAAACGGAUUUUAUAAAAAAUAAUUUUAAAAAAAAACCUACAAAAUAAAAAAGUAGCAGUUUUAUAAAAUAUAAUUAAAAAAAAAACUUACAAAAUAGAAAAAAUGAAUUGGAAUUUACAGUGAAACAAUAUUUGAUUUAAACUCUAUUUUUUAUUUAUUUUAGUUCGAUUAUUUUUUAAUUUUAAAAUUUUCAAUUAUUUUAAUUCAAUUCGACUUUAGUAAAAAAAAAAUCAAAAAAAUUAAACUGAAUUAAUUAAUAAUAAUAAAAUAUUAUUUUUAAUAAUAUAGAAAUUAAAUCAUAAUCAAAAUUAAAUAUUUUAAUUAAAUUUUAAAAUAUUAAAAAUAAAGUAUAAAAAAUAAAAAUUUAUUAAAAAUUUAAACCGAUUAAAUCGAAUUGAAUCAAAUUAAAUCAGACCAAUUUGAUUUAAUUUAAUUUAUGAUCAAAAUUAAUUCGAUUUGAUUUUCAUAAAUAUCAAAAUUUUAAUUUUUAAUUUAUUCGAUUCGAUUUAAUUUUAAAUCGAAUUGAUCAACUGUUUACCUCUAAUCGAAAAUACAGAUGGUAAGAACCUUUUAAUGCUCAAAUUAAAUUUAAAGAAUUUUCAUAAUGAAAUACUCGUUAAAAUUGUAGAAAAAAAGAAAAAGAAAAAGAGGGAAUGGAGAGCCCCAAAUCAUUAAUGUAAGAAAAAAUGUCAUCUUUAUAUUUACUUUGUUUUUUUUUUAAAUAUAUGAUAAUAUAUUUUAAUAUAUUUUUAGAUGGAUCCAACUUUUAAUUAAAAAUAAAUUUAUAUUUUUAAAAUGCAAUAUGUAACUAAAUGCAAUUAUUUUAUAAAAAAUAAUUUCAAAAAUUAUUUACUUAGCCCUUAAAAAAUAUUUUUUUUUUUUUCCCUUUUCUUUUAUCCUUUAUUUAUUUUAACUUCAAAUAAGACCCGAAGAUUGCAGCUGGAGAUUCCUUUGCGUCUUCGCAGGGCUAUUCUGCUCACGUCUUUCUAUAGUCAAAGUCUUCUCAUCUAUUGCUAUAUCUUAGUUAAAGGCAUGGCCACCAGCUGAAAGAGACGGACACUGAUUAAGGUUUGCGCUUUGGAAAUUGUUUUAUAGUCUUUGCUGGGUCAUUCCGUUCACAUUUCUGCGCUUAGUCUUUUUGAUUUUCUUCAUCCAAUCCACUCCAUCCGGGACAGGAAGAUAUCUACCCUAUUUUAAUAUUUUUUAUUAAAUAAAUUUAAUAUCAAAAUUUAUCAAUCAGAUUAUCUGAAUUUCUAUUAGCGGAAAAAAAAAAACUAAAAUGUUUAUUUAGAGUUUAGAAAAUAAAAGAUGUGGCAAGUUAUAAUAAGUUCAGAUCUUGGAUAUUUAUUAUUUAAAUUCAUUUAUAUUUUCUAAUAAUAUUUGUAAUUUUUACACCUAUCAUAUAUUAAAUAAAUAGAGUUUAAUAUUUUAUGUAAUUAUUAAAAUUUUAAUAUAUACAGUAAUAUUUUCUAAAUAUACUUUAUGUAAAUUAUUGAAUUAAGAUUUAUAAAAUCAAAUAUUUAUAUAUUUCGAUAUAAAUAUUUAAUUCGAUAAUUAUUAAAUUCAUUAUUAUAAAUGCUAUGAUAUUGAGUUUGCAUAGAUUGUGCUUAUCUUGAGGAUAGUGAGACAUGGUGCAUUAAAUUUCUAUAAAUAAUGGUUGUUUGAACCAUGAAAAGCAAAUUAAACCUAUCACAAAGUAAGCUUUCUCAUCUGUGUCCAAUGGGGCCUUUGCUAUCAUUUUGCAUCCAUACUAUUGCUCUUGUUCUUGCGUGCAACAUCUUGGCAGCCUCUGGCAAUAAUGAAACUGACCUACUUGCUUUGCUACAACUCAAGGCCAACAUCAAUGGCGACCCGCUAGGAGUUGUCCGUUCAUGGAAUUCUACCCUUAACUUCUGUCAUUGGCCUGGUGUUACUUGUGGCCGUAGACACAAGAGGGUGACUGUUGUAGACUUGCGGUCCCUCAAGCUCUCUGGCUCCAUAUCACCACAUAUUGGAAAUUUGAGCUUUCUAAGGGAAUUAAACCUCCAAAAUAAUAGCUUCACCCAAGCUAUCCCUCCCCAGAUCGGUCGUUUACACCGUCUGCAGAAAUUGUUUCUGAAUAACAACUCGUUUCGUGGCCAAAUCCCACCUAACAUAUCCGGUUGUUCUAACCUUGUUAGCUUACAACUUCAAUAUAAUCAGCUGGUAGGAUCGAUUCCAGAGGAGCUUGGUUUCUUGUCCAAGCUUGAAAUAUUUUCUGUGGGAAAAAACAAUCUGGUAGGAACUAUCCCUCCUUCUUUAGGGAAUUCGUCAUCUCUUCAAGUAAUCUAUGCUAGUGAGAAUAAUUUGUUUGGGAGUCUCCCUCAUUCUCUUGGCAAAUUGAUGAAUCUCAGUAUAUUGGCUCUAUUCGAAAAUGGGUUUUCAGGCACCAUCCCACCAUCCAUCUACAAUCUCUCUUCGAUUCUGGCUUUUGAUGUAGGCUAUAAUCAGUUUGAAGGUAGCCUUCCAUCUGAGCUAGGCGCCAACACUUUUCCAAAUAUUCAAACUUUCUUCAUAUCCGCCAAUAAGUUCACGGGUUCAAUUCCCAACUCACUAUCCAAUGCUUCAAACAUAGCCAUUCUUCAUUUAAGUAGAAAUAAGCUUACUGGGAAAGUGCCAUCCUUCGGAAAUCUAAACAAGCUCACACUAUUUUCUGUUUCCAACAACUCUCUGGGGAGCGGCGAAGAUGGUGACCUGAGCUUUCUCCCCUCCUUGACAAACGCCACAGGUUUAGUGCGAGUGGGUAUAGAGAUGAACAAUUUUGGAGGAAGGUUACCUGGACGAAUCUGCAACUUGUCAAGACAUCUCUCAGAAAUAUAUUUCAGUCAGAAUCAAAUAUAUGGAGACAUCCCCAGUGGAAUUGAUAACCUCAUCAGCUUGCAAAUUUUCGACGGAAGCAUUAACAAACUUUCAGGCAAUAUUCCUUCAAAUGUCGGAAAGCUUCGAAACCUCAGGUAUUUGUAUCUUCUCGCCAACAAUUUCUCAGGUUACAUCCCAUCAUCUUUAGGAAACUUGACCGAGUUGCUUCUACUUACAUUGAGAGAAAAUAAUCUUCAUGGCAACAUCCCUUCCAGCCUAGCACAAUGCCAAAAACUGCUAGCUUUGGAACUUUCUUUUAACAACCUUAGUGGCAACAUACCCCCACAAAUUAUGAAUAUCUCCUCUUUAUCUAUACUCCUUGAUUUGUCUAAUAAUUACCAUUUGAAUGGCGUUCUUCCCAUGGAAGUUGGAAAGUUGGAAAUUUUGGGGGUUUUGGAUGUUUCCAAUAAUAACUUGUCAGGUAGGAUUCCUGAAAGUAUUGGAAGCUGUGCAAGUUUAGAAGUUUUGCGCCUGGAUGGGAACUUUUUCCAAGGGUCAAUUCCUUCAUCUCUUUCAUCAUUGAGGGGACUUCGAGUAUUAGAUCUUUCUCGUAAUAAUUUUUCAGGCAAAAUUGCUGAGUUUAUACAAGAUUUUAGGUUAUUGGCAAGGUUAAAUCUAUCAUACAAUGAUUUUGAAGGUGAAGUGCCAACAAAUGGAGUUUUCAAGAAUCCAAGCGCAACAGGGAUCAAGGGGAACAAAAAGCUUUGCGGUGGGAUUCCUGAGUUUCAGCUGCCUAGAUGCAGUUUUGAUAAUAAGCCAAAGAAGAGAUCAAUGGAGAAGAUGAUGAUUUCUAUAAUUGCCCCACUUCUUGGAGCAACUCUUAUAUUUGCAUGUUUCAUUCUUUAUCUAUCAAGAAAGAGGAGAAGUGAUAAAAAUAAUAAUAGAUCAAGCUCUUAUGAGAAUACACUGUUGAAGGUGUCUUAUCAUAGUCUCCUAAGAGCAACUAAUGAAUUUUCUUCAGCAAAUUUGAUCGGUGCAGGUAGCUUUGGCUCUGUGUAUAAAGGAAUACUUGAAGAAGAUGGAAGGGCUAUUUCUAUUGCUGUCAAGGUAAUUAACCUUGAACGUCGAGGAUCUUGCAGGAGUUUCAUGGCUGAAUGUGAGGCAUUGAGGAGCAUCAGGCAUCGAAAUCUUGUCAAAGUGUUAACAGCAUGCUCAAGCAUUGACCACCAAGGAAAUGAUUUCAAGGCCUUGGUUUAUGAAUUCAUGACUAAUGGGAGUUUAGAGGAAUGGUUGCAUCCUAGUACUGCUGUGCCAGUUGAAGAAGCAAAAACUUUGAAUCUUCUUCAAAGAAUAAAUAUUGCAAUUGAUAUUGCUUCUGCAGUAGAAUAUCUCCAUCUUCAUUGUGAAACACCCAUAAUUCACUGUGAUCUCAAGCCUAGUAACAUUCUUCUCGACAAUGAAAUGACUGGGCAUGUAAGUGAUUUUGGGUUAGCAAAGUUCUUUUCUGAAGAAAACCUUCAUAAUUCAACAAAUGAGUCAAGUUCUUUCGGCGUAAGAGGAACAAUCGGUUAUGCUCCUCCAGGUAAAUAUCUAUACUUUCUCUUCUUCCCUUUACUAAAAGCAAUACAUUUAACAAAUAGUAUUUCCA